AUGCAGGUCAGUAAAGUAUCUGUUUCCUGCAUGAGGCAUCCAUAUAAUAGCAAUUUUACCUUUCCCCCACUUUUAACUUUCCCCCACUUUUAACUCUCUUAUUUUUUUAACACUAGGAAUUCAAUCCGUCUCUUGUAUACUAUAAAUAAAGUUUCUUCAUUCCCCUUUCUAUUAUAUAGUUUUAUUACUCUUAAUGUCUGAAUCUCUUGAGAUAAAUUUCAACAACUGUUCCUG
rnacentral:misc_RNA from 1 species